rnacentral:lncRNA from 1 species
GCUAUGUUUCUAAUUUAUUUACGUAUAUAUUUUAUGAUGUUGCCUGAUUUGUAUCAUUCCAACAAGUGGAUAAAUAAACAUGAUAAAUAUGAUGUCAUGAUAAGAGAUGAUGAAGCAUGAUAUUAUUUGGCGAACAUAUGAAAGGAUUAUGGAUAUUUGCAUGCAUGAUAUUAAAUUAAUAUGAGCUGUUAGGCUUUUUAUCUCUGAGGAGUUCUAUUUUUCCUCC